UUGGAUGAUUGAGGGGAGCUGCUCCUAGUACGAGAGGACCGGAGUGGACGAACCGCUGGUGUUCGGGUUGUGUCGCCAGACGCAUUGCCCGGUAGCUAAGUUCGGCACAGAUAAGCGCUGAAAGCAUCUAAGCGCGAAGCUGGCCCCGAGAUGAGUCAUCCCUAGAGCUUCGAGCUCUCUAAAGGGUUGUYSUAGACUASRACGUUGAUAGGCAGGGUGUGUAAGCGCUGUGAGGCGUUGAGCUAACCUGUACUAAUUGCCCGUGCGGCUUAACCAUACAACACCCAAG
rnacentral:rRNA from 1 species